rnacentral:lncRNA from 1 species
GGAUGGUGGGGGCUUUUUGUGCUACCUGGAAGCUGAGGGACAGUCAGAACUCUGAUGACGACAUGAAGGGUCAUCAAAGGUGUAGGCUUUGCCACUGGGCAGGUGGAAAUGUGACCAAACCAACAGUGAUUAUCAGUCAGGAAGGAGACAAAGUGGUGAGCAGGACUCAAAGCAUAUUCAUUCACACAGAGACACCACUGCUGAUGACAGACACUGUACACUGGUAGAGUAUGUCUGUUGUUAGCCUGGAUGGAGACAAAAGUGUUCACACACAGAAACGGGAUGGCAAAGACACAAAUUUUGUAAGAGAAAUUAAGGAUGGCAAAAUGGUUAUGACUCCCACUUAAUUUUUUUUUAUUUCCAUAGGUUAUUGAGGAAC